rnacentral:rRNA from 1 species
CCAGUUUGAUCCUGGCUCGGGAUGAACGCUGGCGGCGUGCCUAACAUGUGCAGGUCGAGGGAUGAAACCCUUCGGGGUGGAUUAGCGGCGGACGGGUGAGUAACACUUGGGUAACCUGCCUCAAUGAGGGGGAUAGCCUCCCGAAGGGGAGAAUAAUACCGCAUAACAUUAGUUUUUCGCAUGAACAACUAAUUAAAGGAGUAAUCCGCUUUGAGAUGGACCCGCGGCGCAUUAGCUAGUUGGUGAGGUAAAGGCUCACCAUGGCGACGAUGCGUAUCCGACCUGAGAGGGUGAUCGGCCACAUUGGAACUGAUACACGGUCCAUACUCCUACGGGAGGCAACAGUGGGGAAUAUUGCACAAUGGGCGAAAGCCUGAUGCACCCACGCCGCGUGAGUGAUGAAGGCCUUCGGGUUGUAAAGCUCUGUCUUUUGGGACGAUAAUGACGGUACCAAAGGAGGAAGCCACGGCUAACUACGUGCCAGCAGCCGCGGUAAUACGUAGGUGGCAAGCGUUGUCCGGAUUUACUGGGCGUAAAGGAUGCGUAGGCGGAUAUUUAAGUGAGAUGUGAAAUUCCCGAGCUUAACUUGGGAGCUGCAUUUCAAACUGGAUAUCUAGAGUGUGGGAGAGGAGAAUGGAAUUCCUAGUGUAGCGGUGAAAUGCGUAGAGAUUAGGAAGAGCACCAGUGGCGAAGGCGAUUCUCUGGACCAUAACUGACGCUGAGGCAUGAACGCGUGGGUAGCAAACAGGAUUAGAUACCCUGGGUAGUCCACGCCGUAAACGAUGAGUACUAGGUGUAGGGGGGGUCCAACCCUCUGUGCCGCAGUUAACACAUAAAGUACUCCGCCUGGGAAAGUACGAUCGCAGAUUAAACUCAAAGGAAUUGACGGGGGCCCGCGCAAGCAGCGGAGCAUGUGGUUUAUUUCAAAGCAACGCGGAGACCCUUACCUGGACUUGACAUCCCCUGAUUAGUGCAGAGAUGCAUGAAGGCCCUUCAGGGCAAGCAGAACAGGUGGGUUGCAUGGGUUGUCGUUCACCUCGUGUCGGUGGAGAUGUUUAGGUUAGUCCGUGCACGAAGCGCAAGCCCAUUGUCAGUUUAAGUUGGCUUACCAU